rnacentral:rRNA from 1 species
AGUGAACGCUGGCGGUAGGCCUAACACAUGCAAGUCGAACGGCAGCACAGUAAGAGCUUGCUCUUACGGGUGGCGAGUGGCGGACGGGUGAGGUAUACAUCGGAAUCUACUUUUUCGUGGGGGAUAACGUAGGGAAACUUACGCUAAUACCGCAUACGACCUACGGGUGAAAGCAGGGGAUCUUCGGAACUUGCGCGAUUGAAUGAGCCGAUGUCGGAUUAGCUAGUUGGCGGGGUAAAGGCGCACCAAGGCGACGAUCCGUAGCUGGUCUGAGAGGAUGAUCAGCCACACUGGAACUGAGACACGGUCCAGACUCCUACGGGAGGCAGCAGUGGGGAAUAUUGGACAAUGGGCGCAAGCCUGAUCCAGCCAUACCGCGUGGGUGAAGAAGGCCUUCGGGUUGUAAAGCCCUUUUGUUGGGAAAGAAAAGCAGCAGGUUAAUACCCCGCUGUUCUGACGGUACCCAAAGAAUAAGCACCGGCUAACUUCGUG